rnacentral:rRNA from 1 species
AGCGAACGCUGGCGGCAGGCUUAACACAUGCAAGUCGAACGGGCGUAGCAAUACGUCAGUGGCAGACGGGUGAGUAACGCGUGGGAACGUGCCUUUUGGUUCGGAACAACUGAGGGAAACUUCAGCUAAUACCGGAUAAGCCCUUACGGGGAAAGAUUUAUCGCCAAAAGAUCGGCCCGCGUCUGAUUAGCUAGUUGGUGAGGUAAUGGCUCACCAAGGCGACGAUCAGUAGCNGGUCUGAGAGGAUGAUCAGCCACACUGGGACUGAGACACGGCCCAGACUCCUACGGGAGGCAGCAGUGGGGAAUAUUGGACAAUGGGCGCAAGCCUGAUCCAGCCAUGCCGCGUGAGUGAUGAAGGCCUUAGGGUCGUAAAGCUCUUUUGUGCGGGAAGA